UGGAAGAAAGCUAUUCCUAUUUGGAAGAUGAAAUAUGCAUAGAAGAAGGCAUAUGGUCAUUGAAAAGUAAAGCAAUGUACCAUGGUAAAGCUAGUAGCUCUGUGCAAGCUUUUGAGUCAGAAGCAAGGCAGUGGACAUCUUCCUGUUGGCGACUGCAGCUAAGCAAUGCCAGGCAGAGGAGAGAGUUGGCACGCCCGCACAGUGCAUGCCAGUGCAAGACACCAGCCACCGGGGUACCAGGGCCUGUGGAAGCAACAGCAAAGCCAGCAGCAUGAGAAGCUUCCUGACCUAUGCAUCGCAGCUGUGAUAGUAUGAUCCUGAAACUAGCAGUCCAGAAGUAGAGUAGACUGAAGAAACAGAUGUUACCACUGCUAGAGAGAAGGAGAUUCUAUGCCUGCAGCCAAACCUGGAAUGUGCCCCAUCUGAGGCCUUCGUGUCAGGGCAUCCACUCAAGCUGUGAGCACACACAAUUCUGUACUCAAAUGUUGCUGCCAUUGAACCCAAAGUGAAGCUUGGACUGUACUGUAGUUGACCUCAAUGCUGGCAAUCCUCCAGGCCUGGAUUUCGAAGCAAAACCCACAGGAGUCUCUGGCAUGGUAUGAGAAAAAAAUGGACUAAGAAAUCUCCUAAAUUGCAUUUGAUACACUCUAAUUUGAAAAAGAAGUGAAAUACAAAUUUACGUGUGAAAUGGAAUCAUUAACGUACGUCAAAAAUUUGUCUAGAGGUGAC